UACGUAGGGUGCGAGCGUUAAUCGGAAUUACUGGGCGUAAAGCGUGCGCAGGCGGUUUUGUAAGCCAGAUGUGAAAUCCCCGGGCUCAACCUGGGAACUGCAUUUGUGACUGCAUGGCUGGAGUGCGGCAGAGGGGGAUGGAAUUCCGCAUGUAGCAGUGAAAUGCGUAGAUAUGCGGAGGAACACCGAUGGCGAAGGCAAUCCCCUGGGCCUGCACUGACGCUCAUGCACGAAAGCGUGGGGAGCAAACAGG
rnacentral:rRNA from 1 species